rnacentral:rRNA from 1 species
AGUGAACGCUGGCGGUAGGCCUAACACAUGCAAGUCGAACGGCAGCACAGUAAGAGCUUGCUCUUACGGGUGGCGAGUGGCGGACGGGUGAGGAAUACAUCGGAAUCUACUUUUUCGUGGGGGAUAACGUAGGGAAACUUACGCUAAUACCGCAUACGACCUACGGGUGAAAGCAGGGGAUCUUCGUACCUUGCGCUAUUGAAUGAGCCGAUGUCGGAUUAGCUAGUUGGCGGGGUAAAGGCCAACCAAGGCGACGAUCCGUAGCUGGUCUGAGAGGAUGAUCAGCCACACUGGAACUGAGACACGGUCCAGACUCCUACGGGAGGCAGCAGUGGGGAAUAUUGGACAAUGGGCGCAAGCCUGAUCCAGCCAUACCGCGUGGGUGAAGAAGGCCUUCGGGUUGUAAAGCCCUUUUGUUGGGAAAGAAAAGCAGCAGGUUAAUACCCCGCUGUUCUGACGGUACCCAAAGAAUAAGCACCGGCUAACUUCGUG